CAGCAGCCGCGGUAAUACGUAGGGGGCAAGCGUUGUCCGGAAUCAUUGGGCGUAAAGCGCGUGUAGGCGGCUCGGUAAGUCCGCUCUGAAAGUCCAGGGCUCAACCCUGGGAUGCGGGUGGAUACUGCCGGGCUCGAGUCCGGAAGAGGCGAGUGGAAUUCCUGGUGUAGCGGUGAAACGCGCAGAUAUCAGGAGGAACACCAAUGGCGAAGGCAGCUCGCUGGGACGUGACUGACGCUGAGACGCGAAAGCGUGGGGAGCAAACAGGAUUAGAUACCCGCGUAGUCCCUGUCUCUUAUAC
rnacentral:rRNA from 1 species